rnacentral:rRNA from 1 species
GAUGAACGCUGGCGGCGUGCCUAAUACAUGCAAGUCGAGCGAACAGACGAGGAGCUUGCUCCUCUGACGUUAGCGGCGGUCGGGUGAGUAACACGUGGAUAACCUACCUAUAAGACUGGGAUAACUUCGGGAAACCGGAGCUAAUACCGGAUAAUAUAUUGAACCGCAUGGUUCAAUAGUGAAAGACGGUUUUGCUGUCACUUAUAGAUGGAUCCGCGCCGCAUGAGCUAGUUGGUAAGGUAACGGCUUACCAAGGCAACGAUGCGUAGCUGACCUGAGAGGGUGAUCAGCCACACUGGAACUGAGACACGGUCCAGACUCCUACGGGAGGCAGCAGUAGGGAAUCUUCCGCAAUGGGCGAAAGCCUGACGGAGCAACGCCGCGUGAGUGAUGAAGGUCUUCGGAUCGUAAAACUCUGUUAUUAGGGAAGAACAAAUGUGUAAGUAACUAUGCACGUCUUGACGGUACCUAAUCAGAAAGCCACGGCUAACUACGUG